AGCCCACCUGCCGCUGUGAAUCAUGAUGCCUUGCUCAUGGUCCGUUUCUGUGUCAGCAGGAGGAAGUGGGGAGUAAGAACCGAAGGAACACCAGAACCAAGCUGACCCCAAAGAAAGCAGAGAGCUCUUCCUCAGGUUGUCGGUUUGACUCCCAGAGCAGCAGGAAGGACGGCACGCUGCAGAAGAUCUGAGACUUCCUGCAGAGCUCCCCGACUCUGCUGGGCUCCAAAGCCAAGAAGAUGAUGAGCCUGGUCAGCGGCCGUCUGGACCCAGACUCAGCAGCCGCCUCUUCCUUCCUCAGCCUGAGGGCCAAGAGGGGCAGAAAGAAACUCUACAGACCUGAAAUCUCCUGCCCCAUGGACAUGCCCCCCCACCCGAUGAUCAACCAGGAGACGGACGGCGAGGGCCAGAGCGACCAUGACAUCAUCAAACGGCGCCUGCGCAGCAGAGCGGCUAAGUCCUAGCGCUGCCCUCCAGAACUUUACUGUAGAAAUGAAGCUGCUGGUUACGGAUCGUUGUUCUGAGACGCAUUUAUUGGAUCGGUUCUGUGGAGGCCGACCCGUUAACACUAACCAGCAUUUAGAAGUUCAUGUUUCACUUUAUUAACCAGCAAUGGUUCAUCUCUAAUGUGCAAUCUGCUCUAACUCCACCUCCUAGAACACUUUGUGGAACGUUUAACGGUUCUGCUGCAAAGUCUCACUUUAACCUGAAUCAUUAUGUUCUGACGGGUCAUCCGGUCUCAUCAGAGUCCAGAGCCAUCAUGUCCAGGAAACCAUCUGUUCCCAGAACCAUGAUCCUGGCCGGGUUCUCCUCCUGGUUUCUCUGAGAAGAAGCCUGCAAACCAGAUGAUUAAAGUUCUCACGUUCCUCCUCCACACUGUGGAGAACCGUGAAUUUAGACGUUUCUGUCAGAGAUGGUAGAAAGCCUCGCCUUGCUUGACCUUUGCUGAUCUAACCAAACAUGGAUGGACCGAUGCAUGUGGGUUCUAAGCAGGUACCGCUUACAGAGUUCUCCAAGGUGUGUUUAUCAUGGUUUGAGCUGCUGACAUGUGAUGAAGGCUCAGAUAAAGACCUCACCUUUGCACCUGGGUGCUUUACUCACCUGUAAUGACCAUAUAAGGCUAAUAAAAGCUUCCUGAAGGGUCCCGGCCCAGACGGGCUCUGAAAGACAACAAGUGUCUCAGUUUCCAGUCAUUCUGCAGAAUAAAAACUGUUUUAAUGGUCUGAAGGAAAAUGGAGCUGAAAGCAACAAAGUCCAUUAAUGGAGAAAAUGAGGAGCUUUUCUGUGCAGUGAGGUUUGAUGUGCUGAAGGCAGCAGUGAUGGAGCUCCCAGUGAGGACCGUCCUCCAGGAGGAAACCUCAGAGAUGUGAGGAACCUGGAGAUGAGCUGAGUCCACCAUGAAGACAUCAGCAGCUUACAUCUUAAAGUUGCAGUGUGAGAGUCAAAUUUCAACUUUUAAAACAAAUCUGAAUAAACGGUACACCCAGGUUAAAACCUUGUUUCCAGUCCUUGCCUGUCCUGUAUCUUGUCUGACUUCAUGCAACCACUUCCCUCCCUUCAGCCAGGCUGAGGAAAAGACUCCACCGUCAAAGCUUCAGUGCAGUUCAGCUGUCCUCGUUUCAGCUGGUUGUGCCUCAAUGGACAAAUAGCUGUCAUUUCUUAUUUCAUGCUAAUCUUUGAUGUGAAACCAACAUCUU